GCCGAGGUGGUGAAAUUGGUAGACACGCUAUCUUGAGGGGGUAGUGUCUUAGGACGUGCGGGUUCAAGUCCCGCUCUCGGCACCA
rnacentral:tRNA from 1 species